GGACGGGUGAGUAAUAUAUCGGAACGUGCCCAGUAGGGGGGGAUAACUACUCGAAAGAGUGGCUAAUACCGCAUACGCCCUACGGGGGAAAGGGGGGGAUCGCAAGACCUCUCACUAUUGGAGCGGCCGAUAUCGGAUUAGCUAGUUGGUGGGGUAAAGGCUCACCAAGGCAACGAUCCGUAGCUGGUUUGAGAGGACGACCAGCCACACUGGGACUGAGACACGGCCCAGACUCCUACGGGAGGCAGCAGUGGGGAAUUUUGGACAAUGGGGGAAACCCUGAUCCUGCCAUCCCGCGUGUAUGAUGAAGGCCUUCGUUUUGUAAAGUACUUUUGGUGUUGAAGAAAAGGUAUCCCCUAAUACAGGAUACUGCUGACGGUAUCUGCAGAAUAAGCACCGGCUAACUACGUGCCAGUGCCCGCGGUAAUACGUAGGGUGCAAGCGUUAAUCGGAAUUACUGGGCGUAAAGCGUGUGUAGGCGGUUCGGAAAGAAAGAUGUGAAAUCCCAGG
rnacentral:rRNA from 1 species